rnacentral:rRNA from 1 species
GACGAACGCUGGCGGCGUGCUUAACACAUACAAGUCGAACGGAGCGAAUGAAAGCUUGCUUUUAUAAGCUUAGUGGCAAACGGGUGAGUAACACGUAGGCAACCUGCCGACAGGAUGGGGACAACAUUCCGAAAGGAAUGCUAAUACCGAAUGAAGCGCAGGAGAGGCAUCUCUCCUGCGUGAAAGAUGGCCUCUAUAUAUAAGCUAUCACCUGUCGAUGGGCCUGCGUCUGAUUAGCUGGUAGGUGAGGUAACGGCUCACCUAGGCGACGAUCAGUAGCCGGUCUGAGAGGAUGAACGGCCACAUUGGGACUGAGACACGGCCCAGACUCCUACGGGAGGCAGCAGUGGGGAAUCUUCCGCAAUGGGCGCAAGCCUGACGGAGCAACGCCGCGUGAGUGAAGAAGGUCUUCGGAUCGUAAAGCUCUGUUGAUGGGGACGAACGUGC